UGCCAGCGAGGGGGAAGUUGUAUGGACUCUGGCCGCUGGGCCACACUGCUCUGAUACUUGGGGAGAGUUAUAUGGACUCUGACCAUUAGGCCACACUGCCCUGAUACUCG